rnacentral:rRNA from 1 species
CACGUUUCAGUAGGGAGGAAGGUAGUGUAGUUAACACCUGCAUUAUUUGACGUUACCUACAGAAGAAGCACCGGCUAACUCCGUGCCAGCAGCCGCGGUAAUACGGAGGGUGCGAGCGUUAAUCGGAAUUACUGGGCGUAAAGCGCAUGCAGGCGGCCUGUUAAGUCAGAUGUGAAAGACCCGGGGCGUUAACCUCGGAAUUGCAUUUGUAAACUAGGCAGGCUAGAGUCUUGUAGAGGGGGGUAGGAAGUUUCAGGUGUAGCGGUGAAAUAGCGUAGAGAUCUGAAGGAAUACCAGUGGCGAAGGCGGCCCCCUCGGACAAAGACUGACGCUCAGAUGCGAAAGCGUGGGGAGCAAACAGGAUUAGAUACCCUGGUAG